rnacentral:lncRNA from 1 species
ACAAAGCAUUUCUUUUUGGAAAAGUUUUAACCGUUUGCAAGAAGCUUGUGAGGAAACCUAUCUUGCUCCUAUUUUACAGAUAAAGAAAAAUGAGGCUCCUGGGGUUGAAAUGAGAACCCCAAGCUUUACCAGAAGAGGAGUUAGUGUUCUGGAAGAGAAGAGAAGAGUUCCCUGUAGUUCCAUCUUCCUUCCCAGAGAUAACAAAAGUGGACAUUUUGAGGUCAACAAUGUGGCAUGAUGGCAGCACCCCAGCCACAGAGGCGAGUGAUAUUCUCUGGCUAAACUACUUCAGCUUUCACCCUGAGGAAGCAAGAUCUCCAUCAGCACCCGGUGUUGUGGUAUGUGCUGCUUUUUGAUCCUGUCCCAGCCACUUGGACUGUGUUUGAGUCCUGUGCAGGUCAGGCAGCGGGUGAGAAAGCCUGACCAGAUGUCAGAGUCCAGGUGUCAGCUGAGCUGCAUUGCCUGAGCCUUGCCAAUGUGUGUUCUCUCUCGCCUUUUAAACUUUCCAGGCCUGGAAUGAGGGGACAUUUGAGUUGUCCUCAGUCCGAAGGAACCACUGCCCUGUGGCAGGUCUCCCAGGAAGAUAUCCAUGUGGUCUGUAGAUUGUCUUUUAACUGCAUGAAUAUGUUUUUUUAAAGCCAGUUGGAAGGUGGGUGCUUUCAUUCAGUAGGUGCCUGCUGUUUUAUGAAAGAGAGAAAAUUCCUCUUUAAAAGUGAAGUGAAAUCUACAAAUUUAAAGGCUAGUUUAGGGGUGUUAAAGAAGCAAAUAUGAUGAGUCUUUAAGUGAACACACAGUUGUUACAGAGAGCAUCAGGCCAGUCUGUGUGUGUUUGAGGCUCAUACUGUCAGUGUGAAUUGGGAUGUUAACUGUUGAAGGUUGGGGUCUCAGUGGGACUUCACAAAUACAAUAUAAAAGUUGAAGGCAGCUUUGGCAUCCGAGGCACGCUGUUGAGAUUCAGGUGGGAACCAUCCCAAAGCCCAGCUAUGGCCUCACAGCAGGAGUUUUAGGUGUUCACUCCUGCUGCACCUGUCUGUGCUUCCUUCCCAGCUGCCAUGCAGCCCCUCAAAGGCUGUGGACUCCAAGACCGUGGAGCCGGCAUUUCUAGGAGCCAGGAUCAAGCCUGACUUGGCCACAUAAUUUGACUUUAUUCUAGGCAGGAACUAAUAAACGUUUUCUUCACUUGAUUCCA